ensembl:misc_RNA Metazoa_SRP Metazoan signal recognition particle RNA
GCUGGGCGUGGUGGUGCACGCCUGUAGUCCCAGCUACUCGGGAGGCUGAGGCAGGAGAAUUGCUUGAACCUGGGAGGCGGAGGUUGCAGUGAGCCGUGAUUGCGCCACUGCACUCCAACCUGGGCAACAGAGCGAGACUCUGUCUCAA